UUUACCUAGAUAUUCCAGAUGAAGGAAGGCCUUAUUGGUAAGUCUCAUUUCCCAAGGAAUCAAGAAGUCUGGAAUCCAAGAUACCAGAAGAGCAUUCGUGUGGCAAAUAAAAGAUGGAAGUUUAUGUUGAUACAGUGUUUGACAUUUCUAUAAGCGG
rnacentral:lncRNA from 1 species